GGAGAGGUACCCAAGUGGCCAAAGGGGGCAGACUGUAAAUCUGUUGGCUGACGCCUUCGGAGGUUCAAAUCCUCCCCUCUCCACCA
rnacentral:tRNA from 1 species